rnacentral:lncRNA from 1 species
CUGAGGUCAGGAGUUCAAGACCAGCGUGGCCAACAUGGCGAAACCCAGUCUCUAUUAAAAAUACAAAAAUCAAUUGGAUGUGGUGGUGCACACCUGUAAUCCCAGGUACUUGGGAGGCUGAGGUGGAAGAAUCACUUGAACUUGGGAGCCGGAGGUUGCUGUGAGCCGAGAUUGUGCCACCGCACUCCAGCCUGGGCAACAAGAGUUAGACCCUAUCUCAAAAUAAAUAAGUAAAAUAAAAUACAAAUGGAAAUCCCUUCUCUGAUCCCAGGCAUCUAUCCUACCUGCGCAGGGUAGCAGCACCACUGGCGUGGCCCCCAGUGAUGUGUGUGGGGUGUGCAUGAGUAGGGGGUUGUAUGCGCACAGCACUGAGAAGUUGGUGCCCGGGGGCUGCCCUGUCCAUUCUGUGAUCUCACUAGACAGGAGGUCUGGACAUGGGCCGCUGUGUGCAGUCACUGCUCUCUGUUGUUUCCAUAGGCUACGGGCGCACCUACCUCAGCUGCACGUCUGCCCACACCAGCACCGGCGACAGCACGGCCAUGAUCACCAGGGCAGGCCUUCCUUGCCAGGACCUCGAGUUUGUUCAGUUCCACCCCACAGGUAGGGCAGGACGCCUUGCCUGGAAGGCGUUCGGCUCAUGUUUGUCUUGUAAGCGUGUGGUGCCUACUCAUUGCUCUUCCAUAGUUUUAUGUAAUAACAUGGUUUUGAAGAUCAGCUUCCUUAGCUCUCAGGUCCUAACUUCAAUGUCAUUUCCUUAAGGAGACUUUUCCCACACUCCCCUUCCCCUAAGGCAGUUUGGGCCACCGUCUUAUGCAUUUCUCAAGAGCCCUGAACCCUGCCUUGGUGAUACUUACACCAGCAGUAAAGCAGGGAUUGAGGCCGGGCGUGGUGGCUCACGCCUGUAAUCCCAGCACUUUGGGAGGCCGAGGCAGGUGGAUCACCUGAGGUCAGGAGUUCGAGACCAGCCUGCGCAACAUGGUGAAACCUCAUCUCUACUAAACAUAAAAAAAUCAGCUGGGCAUGGUGGCAUGCACCUGUGAUCCCAGCUACUUGGGAGGCUGAGGCGGGAGGAAUGCUUGAACCUGGGAGGCAGAGGUUACAGUGAGCCGAGAUCGCACCACUGUACUCCAGCCUGGGCAGCAGAGUAAGAUUUCGUCUCAAAAAAAAAAAGAGUAAAGCAGGAGUUGUUCUGUGUCCCUCUUUGCGGUGAGGUCGUCAGCUCCUCGGGCAGGCAGGUCUUCUUAUUAACUGGGGUGCUCCAUGCCCAGCACAUGGUAGGGUCUCCACCGGGGUUUACUGAGUGAGCAUUCUGAGAGCUGGGUGAAUGCUGUGGAACCGAGAAGCAGCACAGGCAGAUUUCAGCUGUGUAGGAGAACACGGAGCUUCCGUGACAAUGGAAUGUAAAGUUAAGACACAGACAUGACAGAACCCCACGUGACAUUGGGCGCUGGGCUCAGCCCACGUGACCACUGAGGGAGCUUGUCGUGGGGAAGAUGAGCUCGUCUUGGGGACGUCUGACGGUUGAGGUUACGAAUGUGCAAUUUGGAGACAUUAACUCAGAAAUGACAGUUGAAGUCUUGAGUUUGGAGGAGGUUCUUCAAAAUGAGUCAGAGACAGAGACACACACACCUGCCUCUUGUUUGAGGUGACUCGUCCUGGACUUUUCUGGGUUGCUUUUCUGACCUGUGGACGAUGGAGACCCCUGAAGUGGUGCCAAAGAACCAGACCUAUGUCUUCUCUUUCUCUGUCAGUGUCAGCUUUCUUGCUUCUGUGAGUUUCAGCACCGCUCGCCCUCACCUUCGUGUGCAGGCACAUGUGCACAGCCACCUCUCUCAGCUGCCGGCAGGCGUCUGUUAGUCUGUGAUAUUUUCCUAUAGACCUACAUUUUGAAAAUUUUAGCCAGUUUCUUUCUCAAAUCUGUGGAACAGAGUUUCUCUUAGUGUGUGUAUGUGACGGAGUAUGGGAGAGAGAGACACGCACCCAACCUGAAGUCGGUGUGUGAGCCUUGGGUGUUGUGUCUGAUACCCACAGAUGUUUUUCGACAGCUUUCAAAGUGUGUGGGUUAUUUGCCUUUCAGAAAAACAAUUUGCAGCUCUUUCAUUGCCUGACCCUGUUCUUUAAUGUAAUGACACUUGCUA